ACGUACACUCCUACGGGAGGCAGCAGUAGGGAAUCUUCCACAAUGGGUGCAAACCUGAUGGAGCAAUGCCGCGUGAGUGAAGAAGGUCUUCGGAUCGUAAAGCUCUGUUGUUAGAGAAGAACACGUGCUAGGUAACUACUAGCGCCUUGACGGUAUCUAACCAGAAAGUCACGGCUAACUACGUGCCAGCAGCCGCGGUAAUACGUAGGUGACAAGCGUUGUCCGGAUUUAUUGGGCGUAAAGGGAGCGCAGGCGGUCUGUUUAGUCUAAUGUGAAAGCCCACGGCUUAACCGUGGAACGGCAUUGGAAACUGACAGACUUGAAUGUAGAAGAGGAAAAUGGAAUUCCAAGUGUAGCGGUGGAAUGCGUAGAUAUUUGGAGGAACACCAGUGGCGAAGGCGAUUUUCUGGUCUAACAUUGACGCUGAGGCUCGAAAGCGUGGGGAGCGAACAGGAUUAGAAACCCUUGUAGUCCCAUGAU
rnacentral:rRNA from 1 species